rnacentral:rRNA from 1 species
GACGAACGCUGGCGGCGUGCUUAACACAUGCAAGUCGAACGGUAAGGCCCUUCGGGGUACACGAGUGGCGAACGGGCGAGUAACACGUGGGUGAUCUGCCCUGCACUUCGGGAUACGCCUGGGAAACUGGGUCUAAUACCGGAUAGGACCACUGCCUGCAUGGGUGGUGGUGGAAAGCUUUUGCGGUGUGGGAUGGGCCCGCGGCCUAUCAGCUUGUUGGUGGGGUGAUGGCCUACCAAGGCGACGACGGGUAGCCGGCCUGAGAGGGUGACCGGCCACACUGGGACUGAGAUACGGCCCAGACUCCUACGGGAGGCAGCAGUGGGGAAUAUUGCACAAUGGGCGCAAGCCUGAUGCAGCGACGCCGCGUGAGGGAUGACGGCCUUCGGGUCGUAAACCUCUUUCAGCACCGACGAAGCGCAAGUGACGGUAGGUGCAGAAGAAGGACCGGCCAACUACGUGCCAGCCGCCGCCGUAA